rnacentral:rRNA from 1 species
UACGUAGGGUGCGAGCGUUAAUCGGAAUUACUGGGCGUAAAGCGUGCGCAGGCGGUUCGUUGUGUCGGUGGUGAAAUCCCCGGGCUUAACCUGGGAACUGCGUUUGAAACUGGAAGGCUAGAGUGUGGCAGAGGGGGGGUGGAAUUCCACGUGUAGCAGUGAAAUGCGUAGAUAUGUGGAGGAACACCGAUGGCGAAGGCAGCCCCCCUGGGCUAACACUGACGCUCAUGCACGAAAGCGUGGGGAGCAAACAGG